rnacentral:rRNA from 1 species
GCCGCGUGUGUGANGAAGGCCUUAGGGUUGUAAAGCACUUUCAGUAAGGAGGAAAGGUUAGUAGUUAAUACCUGCUAGCUGUGACGUUACUUACAGAAGAAGCACCGGCUAACUCCGUGCCAGCAGCCGCGGUAAUACGGAGGGUGCGAGCGUUAAUCGGAAUUACUGGGCGUAAAGCGUACGCAGGCGGUUUGUUAAGCGAGAUGUGAAAGCCCCGGGCUCAACCUGGGAACUGCAUUUCGAACUGGCAAACUAGAGUGUGAUAGAGGGUGGUAGAAUUUCAGGUGUAGCGGUGAAAUGCGUAGAGAUCUGAAGGAAUACCGAUGGCGAAGGCAGCCACCUGGGUCAACACUGACGCUCAUGUACGAAAGCGUGGGGAGCAAACAGGAUUAGAUACCCUGGUAGUCCACGCCGUAAACGAUGUCUACUAGGAGCUGGGGUCUUCGGACAACUUUUCCAAAGCUAACGCAUUAAGUAGACCGCCUGGGGAGUACGGCCGCAAGGUUAAAACUCAAAUGAAUUGACGGGGGCCCGCACAAGCGGUGGAGCAUGUGGUUUAAUUCGAUGCAACGCGAAGAACCUUACCUACACUUGACAUACAGAGAACUUACCAGAGAUGGUUUGGUGCCUUCGGGAACUCUGAUACAGGUGCUGCAUGGCUGUCGUCAGCUCGUGUUGUGAGAUGUUGGGUUAAGUCCCGCAACGAGCGCAACCCC